UCGCCGGUGGUGUAAGGCGAACAUCGCUGCCCGGAAAGCAGAAGAUGCGGGUUCGAGUCCCGCCUGGAGCG
rnacentral:tRNA from 1 species